rnacentral:lncRNA from 10 species
GGUACUGGGAGGCGUAGGUGAGGGUCGCGAGGCUGCCCGAGCUUCUGAGCGAGCGCGGUGCUUUUGGGAACGCGGGACGGGCGAUCUGCGGCGCCAGGAGCUGGGCCGAGGCGCGGCGGCGCGGCUGCCGGCUGCCCUGUGAAUGGGAAGUUACGCGAAGUCCACCCAGCGUUUCUGAGGCAAUCUGAAGGCAAAUCCUGUUUAGACCCAGGCGAAGGUUCCCGGUGACCCGGGCUCUCACCAGCCAAUUGUCCCUUGCCGUCCUCCUGAGGGUGCCUGGAGCUUAAGCACUGUGUGCUCUUGGCCUCCACACUGGGGAUGCCGCUGACUCCCACUGUCCAGGGCUUCCAGUGGAUUCUCCGAGGCCCUGAUGUAGAAACUUCCCCAUUGGGUGCACCAAGAGCAGCCUCACAUGGUGUGGGCUGACAUCAAGAGCUGCCAGAUCCAACAGGAAGAUGGCCAAUCUUUCCUAAGCUGCUCACCUUACAAGAAAACGAAUCGUACUGCUAAGAAUUCAAACUUCAGCAGUCAUGGGGAGCCUUGGAAGGAGCCCGAAUCACUGAUGGAAUUGGACAGUGCAUGGAGAUGGUUCAGCAGGACAAGGGUAAGUGCAGGGGCAAGUCCAGGUCAUACUGAGAGACAACGAGUGGCG